CCUACGGGUGGCAGCAGUGGGGAAUAUUGGACAAUGGGCGAAAGCCUGAUCCAGCCAUGCCGCGUGUGUGAAGAAGGCCUUCGGGUUGUAAAGCACUUUCAGUGGGGAAGAAAGCCUGGGGGCUAAUACCCUCGAGGAAGGACAUCACCCACAGAAGAAGCACCGGCUAACUCCGUGCCAGCAGCCGCGGUAAUACGGAGGGUGCGAGCGUUAAUCGGAAUUACUGGGCGUAAAGCGCGCGUAGGCGGUCUGAUAAGCCGGUUGUGAAAGCCCCGGGCUCAACCUGGGAACGGCAUCCGGAACUGUCAGGCUAGAGUGCAGGAGAGGAAGGUAGAAUUCCCGGUGUAGCGGUGAAAUGCGUAGAGAUAGGGAGGAAUACCAGUGGCGAAGGCGGCCUUCUGGACUGACACUGACGCUGAGGUGCGAAAGCGUGGGUAGCAAACAGGAUUAGAUACCCUAGUAGUC
rnacentral:rRNA from 1 species